rnacentral:rRNA from 1 species
CUGCAUGAAGUUGGAAUUGCUAGUAAUCGCGGAUCAGCAUGCCGCGGUGAAUACGUUCCCGGGGAUUGUACACACCGCCCGUCACACCAUGAGAGUCGGGAACACCCAAAGUCCGUAGUCUAACCGCAAGGAGGACGCGGCCUAAGGUGGGUUCGAUAAUUGGGGUGAAGUCGUAACAAGGUACC